rnacentral:rRNA from 1 species
UACGUAGGCAGCGAGCGUUGUUCGGAGUUACUGGGCGUAAAGAGUGCGUAGGCGGUUUCGCAAGUUUUGGUGUGAAAUCUCCCGGCUUAACUGGGAGGGUGCGCCGAAAACUGCGAGGCUUGAGAGUGGGAGAGGUAAGCGGAAUUCCCGGUGUAGCGGUGAAAUUCGUAGAUAUUGGGAAGAACACCGAUGGCGAAGGCAGCCAUCUGGACCGACACUGACGCUGAGGCGCGAAAGCGUGGGGGAGCAAACAGG